CAUAAAACAUUUUAAUGCCACUAUAUGGAAACAGAUAUAAAUUGAUUUCAUUUCCAAGGGCUUUUAAGAAAUGUAGCUUUAUUUUAGGUUGCAGCUAAUUUUGAAUUGUUCCUUUUAGCAGAAGCUUAAAACAUAGUUUUUUUAAAAAUUAAAGAUCAGAGUUUCAAUGUUGCAAUCUAGGGAAAAAUCACAGUGUAACAGUGAAGCAUUUUCCCUUUUUCUUUUUCUUUACUUUUUUUUCUUUUUUUGGUCAUGGAUAGUGGGGAAAUGCAAUCAACACCAACACUCCCUCUGCCAUAUGCUUCAACUUUCAUGUCUGUUUUGCCAUCAUCUAUUCCAUUAACAUUAUGAUUAAUGAAACCUCACUAGAAUUUCAAAUAUAUUGAAAAGUAGCCAAUGACAGCUCUUUGGAGGCUACAUUGAAAAUAAAUAACAAUAAAAACAGGGCGACUUAGGCUUUUGAAGUCUUUAAAGAAACCAUGACUAUGAUCUUUACUACUGCUGCAGAAAAGAGGACAGCACUCCACAUUUCUGGCAUUGUAAAUGACAACACUGCAACUGAAAGAAAGCUUGAAUUUCUGCAAGUAGCUUUAGGAUACAGGACUCCUGCUGAGCUCACCAGUUCCUUGCUCUACACAGCUGCUUUCUCAGCUGGGGUUUUGAAAUUAGCACUGUGAGAAAAGACAGAAAUGACCAGGAUGCAUCUUCCUCACUACGAGAAAAAGAGUAAUAUGCAGUCCACGAGCUGGAGAGCCAAUCUGGUACUUAGAAAGGAAAGAUUCUUGCUUUCUUGAAGCAACAUAGCAUCUCAAGGUGGUGCUUGAGUACCACAAAAACAGAGAUGCAUGUUCUCUACAUGCCGGAAGCAGUCAUCCUGUUGCUAAGGAAACAGCCUCACUCAGCAAGGGUCACCUUUGGAAACAACUGCAAGACUUCAAAGCAGAUUAAUAGAGAAAUACCAAGACCCGAACUUCCUAGCUAAUGUUGUCUUCUAUUUUAAAUACCCUUUUCAACAAAGGUUUGCUUAUGUGAUUUCUGUUUGGUGGGCAGUAGCAAGGCAAAAUUGAAUAUGUAGUAAGUCGAGCCCAGUAUCUUUCAAGCUCUGGCUCUUGGAGAUCUGUGGCUUUUGGUAGACGCUUUGAGUGUGGGAUUGUGCAGGAACAGCAGGAUGGAGACGGACUGACAUCAGGUUUACAAAGAGACGCUGAAUUUAUGACUUUGUUUGAGGGAAAGCUUCCACUCAUUAAAAGAUGUAGCGUCUUUACUCAUACAAGCAUAUGCCGUUACUCAUUUGUCCACAUUGGUGAGAUUUUCUAAUUUGUGAAAAGUCUUGUCAUAUCUUAGGUUUAUGCACAUUUUUGUAUUACUGAAGCGGAUUUCAUUCAUGCAUCCAUUUAUUCAUUUAUUUGUGACAUAUCUUUGAUUUCCUACCAUUUCAGGUACCCUGGGGAUAAGAAGUGAAUAGAACAUAUUUAAGGUCUGGGGGACUCAAUCUGAAGAAGAAAGCAGAUAUGGAAACAAAACAGUGGAAUCACUUGCAGAGGGGACACAAGGAGAUGCUUAUAAUUUUGUCCUGGGGAGGCCAUGAGGAUAAAUUUGCCGGACCUUCAGAGUGCCCUUCUUGGGAAUGCUUCUCUUCUUUGCUUGUUCUACCAUAUUUUUACAAAUAACAAGAAGUAUCAGGUGAGCUAACCAAUAGACCAUUGCAUUUCACGUUCACUCUCAAAUCACUAAGUAGAACAAGUGGUUCCUUCUGUAGCCUCAUCAGUGCUUGCCAUAACAUAAUCUCCCAUCCUUAUAUAUAGCAAAAACAGUCUCUUUCAGCUGUUUGAUUUUUAAUUGCAUUGAGUUCUUCAGCUAAUUUAGCAAUCACUGCAUGAAUAGAAUAUUUCCAUGCAACCCAAAACAACGUCAUAAAGAAACUGCAAAAGACAAAGUAAACCUACAAUGACAAGGGAAGUGAUGAUUUUUUUUUUAAUUAUAGGAGAUGUACUUUACAUCAAGUUAGUAGAAAACUAAUGUGAUGAUUGGUCUACAACUGAUUAGACUUUCUAUGAAUUCUUUUACCCUGUCAUCCAGUUCAUAAUUCUCAUGCUCUUUAUCUCAAAUUUAGUCAUCGUAAUAAAGCUCAUGGCACUAUGUCCGUGGGAGUACGUAUUUCUCUCACCUUCAUCACUAUAUCAUCUCAAACGAUAACAUUUCCUAGCAAGCCAACUUUCUUACAAGUUAAUAUGUGUUGUUGACUUAAUCUGAAUUUGUGCUUAUAUGUUUUGAUGGGUCAAUUCUAUUUCCUUAGUGGCAAAAAGUUUGUUGUUAUUCAAUUUGAUUUAAUAUUCUAUUGACAUUAAGUAAUUUUACUAAUAUGGAGACAUCUGUCCAAUGUUAUAAUGGUGGAUUAUUUUUACAACAAAAAUGCAUGGCUAAUUUGUUUUUUUAAAUAAAAACCAAUAUAAUAAAGUCUAAAAUAAACAAGAAGUCUAAUAUGAAAUGAUGAAGAGAUUUAUUAGCUUUCAUUAUGGUCCCAAAAUGUGGUCUAAUUAACAGCACUAAACUCAGUCAAUGCUACAGUCAUAGAGGCUAAAAUAGAAUAAACAAAUGAACAAAUGAUUAUGCUGUUUCUUGGCAUCAAUUAUCAUGCUAUAUAUAUAUUUCACAUCCAUUUGGACUCUGUCCCCAAAAUUAAGUUUUAUGUUGAAUGAAAUGUAAACUCAGCCUUUAAAAUUAAGACAUUACCACUGACUCCACAGAAGUACACACAGACACACACACACACGCACACACACAGUGACUAUUAUGAACACCUCCAUGCACACA